rnacentral:rRNA from 1 species
AGCGAACGCUGGCGGCAGGCCUAACACAUGCAAGUCGAACGAACCUUUCGGGGUUAGUGGCGGACGGGUGAGUAACACGUGGGAACGUGCCUUUAGGUUCGGAAUAACUCAGGGAAACUUGUGCUAAUACCGAAUGUGCCCUUCGGGGGAAAGAUUUAUCGCCUUUAGAGCGGCCCGCGUCUGAUUAGCUAGUUGGUUGAGGUAAUGGCUCACCAAGGCGACGAUCAGUAGCUGGUCUGAGAGGAUGAUCAGCCACAUUGGGACUGAGACACGGCCCAAACUCCUACGGGAGGCAGCAGUGGGGAAUCUUGCGCAAUGGGCGAAAGCCUGACGCAGCCAUGCCGCGUGAAUGAUGAAGGUCUUAGGAUUGUAAAAUUCUUUCAUCGGGGACGAUAAUGACGGUACCCGGAGAAGAAGCCCCGGCUAACUUCGUG